rnacentral:rRNA from 1 species
AGAGUUUGAUCCUGGCUCAGGACGAACGCUUGCGGCGUGCCUAAGAAAUGCAAGUCGAGCGGGGUUGUACGCUGACCAAAGCUUCGGCAGAGGUCUUGUAUAAUCUAGCGGCGAACGGUCGCGUAACACGUAAGCAACCUGCCCUGAAGUGUGGGAUAGCCCACCGAAAGGUGGAUUAAUACCGCAUGUGAACACUUCCC